GGAAUAUUGGACAAUGGGGGCAACCCUGAUCCAGCAAUGCCGCGUGUGUGAAGAAGGCCUGCGGGUUGUAAAGCACUUUCAGAAGGGAAGAAAUCCUGAAGGUUAAUAUCCUUCAGGCUUGACAUUACCUACAGAAGAAGCACCGGCUAACUCCGUGCCAGCAGCCGCGGUAAUACGGAGGGUGCGAGCGUUAAUCGGAAUUACUGGGCGUAAAGCGCACGUAGGCGGUCUAGUAAGUCGGAUGUGAAAUCCCCGGGCUUAACCUGGGAAUUGCAUUCGAUACUGCUAAGCUAGAGUAUGGUAGAGGGUAGUGGAAUUCCGGGUGUAGCGGUGAAAUGCGUAGAUAUCUGGAGGAACAUCAGUGGCGAAGGCGGCUUCCUGGAUCAAGACUGACGCUCAGGCUCGAAAGCGUGGGUAGCA
rnacentral:rRNA from 1 species